rnacentral:lncRNA from 1 species
AUGGAGGCGACGAGGAGGACGACGUUGAACGCGAGCACCUCCCAGAAGUCGACGCCGAUGUUGAGCAGGUAGCAAAACACGAUGAAACAGAUGAUGGAACCCGCGGCGACCAGGAUGAUCAUGAUCUCGCGGAGCACCUUCUCAAAGUGUCCGAGCUCGUCCACGCCCUGCACGAGGUCCGCGGUCUUGCCGAAGAAGGUCUGGGAGCCGGUGGCGGAGACGGUGGCCUCGAUCUCGCCGCGGGUCACCGUCGAUCCCAUCUUUGCCUCGGCUCCGGCGUGCAUCGUCACCGGGAGCGAUUCGCCAGUGAGCGCCGCCUGGUCAACCUGGAUGGGCUUUCCCUCGCGGAGGAUGCAGUCGGCAGGGAUCGCGCCGCCCGCGCCGAGGCACACGAUAUCACCGGGGACCAGCUCCGUCGCGUCCAUGUUGUAGACGCGGCCCCCGCGCUUCACGGUAGCCUCGGGCUUGAGCGACUCGCGCAACGCGGCGAUGGCGUCGCCGGCUUUGAGCUCCUCGAUGAAGCCGACGAGGACGUUGAGGAGCUGGAGGAUGACGAGGACGACGACGUCGAUCCACGAGUCGCUGGCGUCCUCGCCGCGGCUGGUUUUGAGGAACGCCUCGAGGGUCUCGAUCGCGAUCGC